ensembl:lncRNA
AUUCAAUUUUAUUUGUAUAGCGCUUUUUACAAUAGACAUUGUCUCAAAGCAGCUUUACAGAAAUAUCAACAUGAACUAUGUUUCACAGACCCUGAUCCUCACAUACAUGUUUGGUCUUUCAUCUGUAGACUCUGAAGAACUAACCUAUGCAGCACAUAUCUACUACGUGGUGGCACUGGAGGAGCUACAAACAUGUCAGGGAUCCAGCUUUGAUCUGAUUGGAUGUGACAGGCUCUCUGACAUCAGGGCUCGCCCAGCCUAACUUCCAGACAAGUGCUAUCAUGCCAGCAGGCUAGCCAGGUCUGGACUUGUUGAUCAAGCCCUUGAUUACUGUGAGGCCGUCGCUAGAACAAUUGCCACCUUUACUCGCAAAAUCACAAAGACCACAAUGGAACGGACUAUUGCGGUGAAUACAGUCAUCGUAAUUUGCGCUUAGCUCCCGGUCUGUCUGGAGGUUACCGUGAUCUGAUAUGGUGGUGUCUGGAACAAGACCCUCGCUCUCGGCCAAACUUCGAGGAAAUCCUCAGCCGCAAGUGGUUUACGGGACUUCAGAGCAAAGUCAAGGUUAUGCAGCAAGAAGAGAAUAGACCUAAUGUUAAUGAGCAUAGAAUAGUCUAGAUUGCAUGGAUUGUACUGGAUCGGGAUUGAGUUCUGUAACAAGGAUUGCUCUGCAUUUGUAAUUAGGGGGCCAAACAACAAAAUGCAUAGGCACCCUAUAGUGAUUGUAUGUUUUCUCAUUAUUUAUUUGGGGGCCAAGCACCAAAUGUGUGUAGGCAUCCUUUAGUGAUUGUAUGUUUUCUUAUUAGGGGGGCAGGCACUAUAACGUCACUUGGGAUAUAGAAGGUCCUGCCACUCCACCAUCAACAAACCUGAGAAAAGGCAUCAAAACUUCCCAGUUUACCAAAACUACCAUGAAGUUCUGGGUCAAUGACGACAUGCAUAUUUUUGUGUCCGAGUAUAUCAUUUCCAUUUAAAAUAAUUUUAUAAAUUCAUGACAUGUAUCACUUUAUUCUAUAAAACCUCUUUAGUUUGAAUGCAUUUUCAAUACAUUUAAAUAAUAUAUAUUAUUUUAUGUUUUGGUAUCUCAAACCCCCAAAAUGUCAUUCGGUGCAACCGUCCGCACAAAUGAACAGCCUAAGAAAACUAUUAAAAAGGUGUUUAAUGAUUAAUACAUUCUAAAUAAAAUACUGUGCCAUGAUUUUAUGUUUGAACUCUUUCAAAUAAACUAAUUUCACAAACAAUAUUAGUGUCCAGCAAUUUGUUCUCAAAUGUCAGGGUGGCACAACCACAAACAUGGU